AAUCAACGCUGGCGGCGUGCCUCUGACAUGCAAGUCGAACGAUUAAAGCUCUCUUCGGAGAGUGCAUAGAGUGGCGCACGGGUGAGUAACACGUAAGUAAUCUACCCUCGAGUGGGGAAUAACGUCCGGAAACGGGCGCUAAUACCGCAUAAUGCAGCGGCAUCACAAGAUGACAGUUGUUAAAGAUUUAUCGCUUGAGGAGGAGCUUGCGGCAGAUUAGCUAGUUGGUAAGGUAACGGCUUACCAAGGCUACGAUCUGUAACCGGUCUUAGAGGACGGUCGGUAACACUGACACUGAAUAACGGGUCAGACUCCUACGGGAGGCAGCAGUCGGGAAUUUUGGGCAAUGGGCGAAAGCCUGACCCAGCAACGCCGCGUGAAGGAUGAAGUAUUUCGGUAUGUAAACUUCGAAAGAAUAGGAAGAAUUAAUGACGGUACUAUUUAUAAGGUCCGGCUAACUACGUGCCAGCCGCCGCCGUAA
rnacentral:rRNA from 1 species